rnacentral:rRNA from 1 species
UCUUUAUAUAGAAAAUUUUACUAAACAUCGCAGCUUAAAUCGUAAAAUGUUAAUAUAUUUAGUUGGGGUGACACGAAGUCAUAAACACUUUUUUUAACACAAAAAUUUAAGGAUAAAUGACCCGGUUAGCCGAUCAAAAAAUUAAGU